GAUGAACGCUGGCGGCGUGCUUAACACAUGCAAGUCGAACGGAGUCAUCAUUUUUGAAGCAAUUAGCUUGCUAAGGGUGGAAAUGUUGGUGACUUAGUGGCGGACGGGUGAGUAACGCGUGGGUAACCUGCCAUAUACAGGGGGAUAACACUUAGAAAUAGGUGCUAAUACCGCAUAAGCGCACAGGACCGCAUGGUCUGGAGUGAAAAACAUUAGUGGUAUAUGAUGGACCCGCGUCUGAUUAGCUGGUUGGUGAGGUAACGGCCCACCAAGGCGACGAUCAGUAGCCGGCCUGAGAGGGUGGACGGCCACAUUGGGACUGAGACACGGCCCAA
rnacentral:rRNA from 1 species